AUUGAACGCUGGCGGCAGGCCUAACACAUGCAAGUCGAACGGUAACAGGAAGAUUCUUGCUUCUUUGCUGACGAGUGGCGGACGGGUGAGCAAUGUCUCUGAAACUGCCUGAUGGAGGGGGAUCGCUACUGGAAACGGUUACUACUACCGCCUAACGGCGCAAGCCCAGAGAGGGUCGCCUACGGGUCUCUUGCCUUCGUAUGUGCCCGGAUGGGAAUAGCUAGUAGGUGGGGUAACGGCUCACCUAGGCGACGAGCCGUAGCUGGUCUGAGAGGAUGACCAGCCACACUGGAACUGAGACACGGUCCAGACUCCUACGGGAGGCAGCAGUGGGGAAUAUUGGACAAUGGGCGCAAGCCUGAUGCAGCCAUGCCGCGUGUGUGAAGAAGGCCUUCGGGUUGUAAAGUACUUUCAGCGGGGAGGAAGGGCGUUAAGUUAAUACCUUGGCAAAUUGACGGUACCCGCAGAAGAAGCACCGGCUAACUCCGUG
rnacentral:rRNA from 1 species